GCAGGAAAGGACUCUUUAAAGUAGAGACACUACNUUGAAGCCAUUGAAGCAAUCGAGGAGACGACUGAUGAGGACGGAGAAGCUAUCCGUGGGUUCUCCCCCCAGCACAAGAUCGCCAGCUUUGCAGAGGCCAAGGGCUUGGACCGCAUCAACGAGCGCAUGCCGCCUCGCAAGGACGGGGUGAACCACGUGGGUCACUCAAUGGGAAAGAUGAAUAUGUCAGAGGCAAACGGCACGGAUGACAACAGCGACAUCCAGUGAUGUGCUGUCUGAGCCUCAGAACAAUGCUGCUGUUCGCUGUGCAGCAAGACAUUGCCAAAAGGGGAAUUCAGGCCUCAGAACAUAGAAAUAAACCAGGCCUACAGACAGAACAUGAAAAUCUGCAGCAAAACUUAAACGGGCGAAAAAGGUCAUUUCUUUCAUGGCAGUAUGUCAUCGCACAGUUGGGGGAGGGGGGGGUUCAGCGGAGGGCAAGGGUAAGGGAGGCCACAAGGCUGCAGCUGGGUUGAAAACGGAUCGGUUGAAAGUUGUUUCUGCCUGUUGUUCCCUUUCUCAGUUCAAUUAAAGACUGACUUGUUGGGGGUUGUGUUGUUCUGAGUGCUGACAAACGUCUGCUCCUUCAUUACAGAGCCUGGCAGAAGACAUAAUUGCAGUAUCCAUGCCACACAAAUCAUGUUACUGUAUCAUAAAGUGUUUAUUAUGAAUCACUCACAAAUUCAUGUUUUGCUAGUAUUAACACCACUUUGUGAGAAGGAAAGAUAAAAGAAAGAAUAUCAAUGUGAACCUCUUUAAAAAACCUGCAGUGCAAGCUUACCAGUUAAACUAAACUUAUUGAUUUACCUUGUAGUACGACGCGGUCAUCCUGCAGGGGGAAGAAGACUCACAAAGCCACUGCUCCUUGUGUACACUACAGUCAAAUCCAGCACUGCUCCUUUCCUCACCUCCCUCAUUAUCAGUCAUCUCCUAGCAAGAAGUCACUUGGAGGGGACGAGGGAAAAGGGAGGGGAUGAAAGGAGCAUUUGGAGAAAGUAGUUCCACUUGGAAACACCAAGAUCUGGAAAUGCCCCCAAAAAGGAGCACACUAUCCCAUUUAAGGAUACAAUUUCAUCUACGUCCAUAGGGGGAAUCUCAAAGGGUUUUAUUUUUAUCAAGACCAUCCUUAAAUAGUUUUCUUCCGCUCCAUUAAAGUAGUUCUCCUGAGAGAUGCAUGGCAUUUGAUCAAGCUAAUACCUCGCACACCUUCUGGAAAGUAUACACUCGAGCAUCCUCCACUGAAGGAGCCUUUCUCUCAUCUCUGCAUUGCUAUGACAACGAAGUGGCUUUAACACCUGUUUCUGGACCACAGAGAGGAAAGGAGAAGAAUUUAUGUUGAACUUUGGGGAAAACCCUGCUGUCACACACUACCUGAUUAUGUCUCACCUGCUUGUUGCUAUGAGAACGUAAAAGAUUACGUGCAUCCGAAUCAAGUAUACGUUAGCGCCCUUUGAGUUAUUGCACUUUCUGCUGUGCUGCCAAUUCAAUGAGAUUUCAUGCUUAAGAGCUAUAAAGUAAUAUAUCAGAGUGAGAAGGAAAUUCUACAAAUUUGUGAAUGCAUUCAUGCUUUGUUUAAAGAUCAUAUAACUACCCAUGUUAUUUGGAAUAAGCUAAUUAGAUCCAUCUGGACAAAUGCAUCUUAAGGAUUUGAAGAAUGUAUCCUGACCGAAAUGUCGUUUUUUGUUCACUAAAAUGUAGCUUAGAUGAAUUUAAAGUUGUCAGAAGUACGUCCUUCAUGACUAUUUAGCAGUAGAGACAAGGCUUUUGGUUAACAAUCCACCCACGUCGAAAUGUGUUAUAUCGUUUUUUUAUUUCUCAAUUAUCUUUUUCUUAUCUAAUCUAAUUUAACUGUGCAGUACAGGGGGGAAAUGGGUACACCUACACUUGAGAUUGAAAUAAAAUAACUUUUCCCGUGUCCAAAUAACUGAUCGAGGAAGAGAAAAGAAACAAUUCAAACAGGAAACAUUCUGGUUCUUUCAAAAUAAAAGAAUGGCGAAAGUUUUGAAGCCCAAAAAAGUGUGCAACAUGAAUUUCUACAAUUUCCUUUCAUCCAUUAAUAUAUUUUCUAAUUUCUAUGUCAUCUUUCUAUUUAAUGAUAAAGGUAUGUGAAUUAAGGAUGGACAAAAAGUGAUUUUAAACACAGCAUCUAUGGUACGGAACGCAUCAAUGCAUGCAAUUAAGUUCCUAAUUGUUAUGUGAGAUUAUAAUUGUGAUAGUUGUGUUUCAAAUAGUGAACUUGAAUUAUUUUUAUUUUUUAUUUACAUUUGUAGUUUGAUUUGUCUUGUUUUAUACAUUUUAUAAAUAGGCUUCCUUUUGAUUGUUUCAUUUUUUUCAUUCUGUUAUUUAUUACCACUGCUUUUAAUUUUUAUAUUGAUUUAUUGUAUGCAGAGAUGCCCUUCUAAGGUUUGAAUCCUUGUGUUUAUUUUUAUUUUUUUGGUUGUACUGAUGUACAGAAAAUGUUCAAUAGUGUGAAUGAAUAUAAUCUCAGUGAAAAGCAACUUUCAGGCUGCCUAAGCAUGAUAGCAUGGUUUUCAAAU